rnacentral:lncRNA from 1 species
AAUUAUUGAGAUUAUGUAUAUGUUCUGACAUUGAUCAAUCGCUUGCAUCUGUUGCUCCUUCUGAUCCUAUCUUUUCCCGACAAAGGUACGUACUGGGGAACUCCAUUGCUGGAUAACCAGCACUCUUCUUAUCCCAAAUUUGUUUCUUGGAUUCCCCCUCCCUUUGGUCAUAUUAUCAUUAAUUUUGAUGGAGCCACAGUUAAGGACAGAUCGGCUGCUGGUUUUGUUAUUUGUGAUCAUGAUGGUUCAUUGUUGCUAAUUGGAGGCAAAAUUCUCCCC